rnacentral:rRNA from 1 species
GGGCCCGCACAAGCGGUGGAGCAUGUGGUUUAAUUCGAUGAUACGCGAGGAACCUUACCAGGGCUUAAAUGUUAGGUGACAGAUCUAGAAAUAGAUUUUUCUUCGGACACUUAACAAGGUGCUGCAUGGUUGUCGUCAGCUCGUGCCGUGAGGUGUCAGGUUAAGUCCUAUAACGAGCGCAACCCCUGUUGUUAGUUGCCAGCGAGUAAUGUCGGGAACUCUAGCAAGACUGCCAGUGCAAACUGUGAGGAAGGUGGGGAUGACGUCAAAUCAUCACGGCCCUUACGUCCUGGGCUACACACGUGCUACAAUGCUACGGACAAAGGGCAGCAAGUUCGCGAGGACAAGCAAAUCCUCAAAACUGGGCCCAGUUCAGAUUGUAGUCUGCAACUCGACUACAUGAAGUCGGAAUCGCUAGUAAUGGC